GCUGGAAGCAGCCAUUGUUGGGUGUCCAACUGACAAGCAUUAAACUCUUCUAAGAUGUGGGUUGUCACAGAUGCAGCCGAUGUGUCUUUUAUAACUUGAA